rnacentral:rRNA from 1 species
GACGAACGCUGGCGGCGUGCUUAACACAUGCAAGUCGAACGGUAAGGCCCUUCGGGGUACACGAGUGGCGAACGGGUGAGUAACACGUGGGUGAUCUGCCCUGCACUUCGGGAUAAGCCUGGGAAACUGGGUCUAAUACCGGAUAGGACCACUGCCUGCAUGGGUGGCGGUGGAAAGCUUUUGCGGUGUGGGAUGGGCCCGCGGCCUAUCAGUUUGUUGGUGGGGUGAUGGCCUACCAAGGCGACGACGGGUAGCCGGCCUGGGAGGGUGAACGGCCACACUGGGACUGAGGGACGGCCCAGACUCCUACGGGAGGCAGCUGUGGGGAAUAUUGCACAAUGGGCGCACGCCUGAUGCAGCGACGCCGCGUGAGGGAUGACGUCCUUCGGGUUGUAAACCUCUUUCAGCACCGACGAAGCGUAAGUGACGGUAGGUGCAGAAGAAGGACCGGCCAACUACGUGCCAGCAGCCGCGGUAA